UCUGAUUAUGAAGUGGGCCUGCAUAGCUUAAACCUCAAGGCUCAAUUGUAGUUGUUUUUGUUGACUAAUAAUCUUCCUGUAUUCACUGUGGGUUUUAUUCAGAAGUCAUGGUGGAGUUUUAUUUGACACUCAUUUUUAUCAGGUACAACAACUGCAGCACUUGAUGGAUAAAUGAGAACACAUGGACACAGGGAGUUAGGUGCUCUCCUCACAUAUGUUACUGGAACAAAAGAAAGGACUCUGAUUCUGGAAAAUAUGCUCUUACUCAUUCUCUGUGAACUGGGCCUGUUCAACAUUGGAAGACAGCAGAACAGAAGGAAUACUUUGCAAUGUAAAUGAACUCCUGUGAUGAGCAGGAAAAAUCUCUACCUAACCACUCGAAGGAAAGGAGAAUAAAUGAACAAAUGAAUACAGAGAAACAGAGACAAUGGUUUGGAGAAUCUGACAGAAAGAACAGUAUAUAUUGUAAAGCCUGCAGGCUGGGUUCUACUACACCAAAAACUAUGCAUUAGAUCAUAUAAAUAUAAACUUUUUCCUUAACCUUCAUUCAAG